rnacentral:rRNA from 1 species
AUUGAACGCUGGCGGCAGGCCUAACACAUGCAAGUCGAGCGGAUGAAGGGAGCUUGCUCCUGGAUUCAGCGGCGGACGGGUGAGUAAUGCCUAGGAAUCUGCCUGGUAGCGGGGGAUAACGUCCGGAAACGGGCGCUAAUACCGCAUACGUCCUGAGGGAGAAAGGGGGGGAUCUUCGGACCUCACGCUAUCAGAUGAGCCUAGGUCGGAUUAGCUAGUUGGUGGGGUAAAGGCCUACCAAGGCGACGAUCCGUAACUGGUCUGAGAGGAUGAUCAGUCACACUGGAACUGAGACACGGUCCAGACUCCUACGGGAGGCAGCAGUGGGGAAUAUUGGACAAUGGGCGAAAGCCUGAUCCAGCCAUGCCGCGUGUGUGAAGAAGGUCUUCGGAUUGUAAAGCACUUUAAGUUGGGAGGAAGGGCAGUAAGUUAAUACCUUGCUGUUUUGACGUUACCAACAGAAUAAGCACCGGCUAACUUCGUG